AAGUCGUAACAAGGUUUCCGUAGGUGAACCUGCGGAAGGAUCAUUCAUGUGAACUUCUUAACUGGUUGCAGUCAACUUGACUGGAACCGACACCAUCUCUUGUAAACCAUUAGUUGCAGUGCCUAGGUUCAGUGUUUUUCUUUUGUUGGCUGCGUUUUCUUUCAUCAUCAUUCCGUUUUCUAGCACUCUAAACCAGAGAUCAACGGUAAAAGGAAGUAAAAUGCUACCUAGAAUUCAUACUCUUUGAAAGCAAACCAACUCUAUUUCCAUAGUAAUUUAUAAACCUAUUACAACUAUUAACGACGGAUCCCUCGGCUCUCA
rnacentral:misc_RNA from 1 species